CAUCGAUGAAGAACGCAGCGAAAUGCGAUACUUGGUGUGAAUUGCAGAAUCCCGUGAACCAUCGAGUUUCUGAACGCAAGUUGCGCCCGAAGCCAUCUGGCCGAGGGCACGUCUGCCUGGGCGUCACGC
rnacentral:rRNA from 1 species